rnacentral:rRNA from 1 species
CCCUUGAAGACGACGAGGUAGAUAGGCUGGGGGUGGAAGUGCAGCAAUGCAUGGAGCUGACCAGUACUAAUCGGUCGAGGGCUUAUCCAAUA